rnacentral:rRNA from 1 species
CUACGGGUUGCUGCAGUGAGGAAUAUUGCACAAUGGGGGGAACCCUGAUGCAGCAACGCCGCGUGGAGGAUGACGCAUUUCGGUGUGUAAACUCCUUUUAUAUGUCAAGAAAAUGACGGUAGCAUAUGAAUAAGCACCGGCUAACUCCGUGCCAGCAGCCGCGGCAAUACGGAGGGUGCAAGCGUUACUCGGAAUCACUGGGCGUAAAGGACGCGUAGGCGGGUUGGAAAGUCAGGUGUGAAAUCCUACAGCUUAACUGUAGAACUGCACUUGAAACUUCUAAUCUAGAGUAUGGGAGGGGGAGAUGGAAUUAGUGGUGUAGGGGUAAAAUCCGUAGAUAUCACUAGGAAUACCUAAAGCGAAGGCGAUCCCCUGGAACAUUACUGACGCUAAGGCGUGAAAGCGUGGGGAGCAAACAGGAUUAGAUACCCUGGUAGUC